UUUCUCUCUAUGUUUCCCUUAGAAAAUUAUUAGAGGCAUAGGGGGUCUAACACCCUCAAAUAAGUAAGAUGAUGUAGCUUCUUCAUUGACUCGUGCAAUGGAAUCAACAACUCCAAGUGAGACAAUUUUGGUAAGCAAAAUUGGUGAUAUGGAAUGACCUGAAAGUUGAUUUGUGGUGUCAAAAUGUGGCUAGCCCAGAUCCCACAAAGAGUGUUUUUUGAUGAGGAAAAAAAGAUGGUGAUUAUGGAAGUAAAAAUCCACUAAGGAGUGUGUAACAACUCACCUGUCGAAUCAACUAGAACAAGAAAUGGAUGGAACUGAAGAGAAAAACCUUUACUCAACUGUAGAAGAGAUUUUGAGGCUUCUAUGAGUAGGACGAUGUGGGGGUAUUUAAGAAACCCUAUGUGUAAGACUCAAUGGAUUGAUCGUUGAUG
rnacentral:ncRNA from 1 species